rnacentral:rRNA from 1 species
UACGGGGGGAGCAAGCGUUGUUCGGAUUUACUGGGCGUAAAGGGCGCGUAGGCGGUCUUGCAAGUCCUGUGUGAAAUCCCCGGGCUCAACCUGGGAACUGCAUUUGUGACUGCAUGGCUAGAGUGCGGUAGAGGUAGCUGGAAUUCCCGGUGUAGCGGUGAAAUGCGUAGAUAUCGGGAGGAAUACCUAUGGCGAAAGCAGGCUACUGGACCGUCACUGACUCUGAUCUGCGAAAGCUAGGGGAGCAAACAGG